rfam:Candidatus Zambryskibacteria bacterium RIFCSPLOWO2_01_FTLL_45_43 rifcsplowo2_01_scaffold_10427, whole genome shotgun sequence.
AAUAGGAAACUAAAGGGCGUACGGUGGAUGCCUUGACUAGAAGAAGUGAUGAAGGACGCGAUUUGGCGGCGAUACGCCACGGGGAGGUGCCUAAUAACCUUCGAUCCGUGGAUGUCCGAAUGGGGAAACCCUCCCAGCUCCACUUUUGGAUUUUAGAAAUUUCUAGAACUCAAAAGUGGAGCUGGGAACUCUAUCAAUUAGGUAGAGAACUCACCCGGUGAAGUAAAACAUUUCAGUAACCGGAGGAAAAGAAACAAAUAUGCAUUUCCUUAGUAGCGGCGAGCGAAAAGGAAGAAGCCCAAACUCAGUUUCAAUCUUUGAUUUCGAAUCAGUAAAGUCAGACUUGCACAAGCUUGUGCAAGUCUGACUUUCACGAAAUCAAAGAUUGAUGCUGGGGGUUGUAAGACAGAGACUGCCCAGCCCCACUUUUGGAUUUUAGAAAUUUCUAGAACUCAAAAGUGGGGCUGGACGUAGAGUUAAAAAUUAUUUGGUUAGCUUGAGCUUCUGGAAAGAAGCACCCAAGCGGGUAAUAGUCCCAUAAGCGAAAAUCAAAUGACUCUUCGGUUUCUCGUCUUGAGUACUUCGAGACACGAAUAGCUCGGAGGAAUCUGCCAGAACUAACUGGUAAGGCUAAAUAUUCUUCUAGAUCGAUAGUGAACUAGUACCGUGAGGGAAAGGUGAAAAGCAAUCCGAAAGGAUGGUGAAAUAGACCUGAAACCGUAUGUCUACAAGGAGUCAGAGUCGUGUUGCGUUGCAACACUCCAAUUGACCUAAUUAACCUAAUUACUCUAAUUGACCUAAAGAAUUCCUUUAGAAUAAUUAGAACAAUUAGAAAUUAGAAUAAUUUGGAGUGCUACACAGCAGCACGACCAUGGCGUGCCUAUUGAAGAAUGAGCCAACGAGUUAAUGCAUGGGGCUGGCUAAGGACGAGAGUCUGGAGCCACAGGGAAACCGAGUGUGAAUAGCGCGCUAAAUUCUCGCCCCGCGAGAACUUAGUCCCAUGCAUUAGACCCGAAGCCAGAGCGAGCUUGUCAUGAGCAGGGUGAACUUCGACGAAAGUCGAAGGGAGGCCCGAACCCAUAUGCCGUGCAAUACAUUGGGAUGACUUGUGAUAAGAAGUGAAAAGCUAAUCGAGCCUGGUAAUAGCUGGUUCUCUCCGAAAUAGCUUUUGGGUUAGCGUCGAGUGUUCCUUAUAGAGGUAGAGCACUGGAAGGUUUGGACAGGGCGAAAGCUCGCUAAACCUAUCAAACUCCGAAUUCUAUAAGUUAAAAGCUCGGCAGUUAGACUCCGGGGGCUAAGCUCCGGUGGUCAAAAGGGAAACAGCCCUGAUCUCUAUUUAAGGUCCCUAAAUU